GGUGGGGUGGCCGAGAGGUCGAAGGCAUCCGCCUUGAAAGCGGACGGCGGGAAACCGCCCGGGGGUUCGAAUCCCUCCCCCACCGCCA
rnacentral:tRNA from 1 species